GAUGAACGCUAGCUACAGGCUUAACACAUGCAAGUCGAGGGGCAGCAUGGUCUUAGCUUGCUAAGGCCGAUGGCGACCGGCGCACGGGUGAGUAACACGUAUCCAACCUGCCGUCUACUCUUGGACAGCCUUCUGAAAGGAAGAUUAAUACAAGAUGGCAUCAUGAGUCCACAUGUUCACAUGAUUAAAGGUAUUCCGGUAGACGAUGGGGAUGCGUUCCAUUAGAUAGUAGGCGGGGUAACGGCCCACCUAGUCUUCGAUGGAUAGGGGUUCUGAGAGGAAGGUCCCCCACAUUGGAACUGAGACACGGUCCAAACUCCUACGGGAGGCAGCAGUGAGGAAUAUUGGUCAAUGGGCGAGAGCCUGAACCAGCCAAGUAGCGUGAAGGAUGACUGCCCUAUGGGUUGUAAACUUCUUUUAUAAAGGAAUAAAGUCGGGUAUGGAUACCCGUUUGCAUGUACUUUAUGAAUAAGGAUCGGCUAACUCCGUGCCAGCAGCCGCGGUAAUACGGAGGAUCCGAGCGUUAUCCGGAUUUAUUGGGUUUAAAGGGAGCGUAGAUGGAUGUUUAAGUCAGUUGUGAAAGUUUGCGGCUCAACCGUAAAAUUGCAGUUGAUACUGGAUAUCUUGAGUGCAGUUGAGGCAGGCGGAAUUCGUGGUGUAGCGGUGAAAUGCUUAGAUAUCACGAAGAACUCCGAUUGCGAAGGCAGCCUGCUAAGCUGCAACUGACAUUGAGGCUCGAAAGUGUGGGUAUCAAACAGGAUUAGAUACCCUGGUAGUCCACACGGUAAACGAUGAAUACUCGCUGUUUGCGAUAUACAGCAAGCGGCCAAGCGAAAGCGUUAAGUAUUCCACCUGGGGAGUACGCCGGCAACGGUGAAACUCAAAGGAAUUGACGGGGGCCCGCACAAGCGGAGGAACAUGUGGUUUAAUUCGAUGAUACGCGAGGAACCUUACCCGGGCUUAAAUUGCAGAUGAAUUACGGUGAAAGCCGUAAGCCGCAAGGCAUCUGUGAAGGUGCUGCAUGGUUGUCGUCAGCUCGUGCCGUGAGGUGUCGGCUUAAGCGCCAUAACGAGCGCAACCCUUGUUGUCAGUUACUAACAGGUUCCGCUGAGGACUCUGACAAGACUGCCAUCGUAAGAUGUGAGGAAGGUGGGGAUGACGUCAAAUCAGCACGGCCCUUACGUCCGGGGCUACACACGUGUUACAAUGGGGGGUACAGAGGGCCGCUACCACGCGAGUGGAUGCCAAUCCCAAAAACCUCUCUCAGUUCGGACUGGAGUCUGCAACCCGACUCCACGAAGCUGGAUUCGCUAGUAAUCGCGCAUCAGCCACGGCGCGGUGAAUACGUUCCCGGGCCU
rnacentral:rRNA from 1 species